rnacentral:rRNA from 1 species
AACGAACGCUGGCGGCAUGCCUAACACAUGCAAGUCGAACGAGACCUUCGGGUCUAGUGGCGCACGGGUGCGUAACGCGUGGGAACCUGCCCUUAGGUUCGGAAUAACUCCCCGAAAGGGGUGCUAAUACCGGAUAAUGUCUUCGAACCAAAGAUUUAUCGCCUUUGGAUGGGCCCGCGUUGGAUUAGCUAGUUGGUAGGGUAAAAGCCUACCAAGGCGACGAUCCAUAGCUGGUCUGAGAGGAUGAUCAGCCACACUGGGACUGAGACACGGUCCAGACUCCUACGGGAGGCAGCAGUGGGGAAUAUUGGACAAUGGGCGAAAGCCUGAUCCAGCAAUGCCGCGUGAGUGAUGAAGGCCUUAGGGUUGUAAAGCUCUUUUACCCGGGAUGAUAAUGACAGUACCGGGAGAAUAAGCUCCGGCUAACUCCGUG